GCCGGGUGCGGUGGCUCACGCCUGUAAUCCUAGCACUUUGGGAGGCUGAGGUGGGCGGAUCACCUGAGGUCAGGAGUUUGAGACCAGCCUGACCAACAUGGAGAAACCCCAUCUCUA
rnacentral:SRP_RNA from 1 species